AUUGGGACAUAUAUCAACUUGGGCCAAAUGGAGCUGGAAAGUGAGUGUAUUAAUGCCUAUGUCCAUCAUGGUGCGUGACCAUAAUUGCCACAACACAGAAGAAGCAGCUUUCAUAGACUCCUAUGCAAUGACUGCAAUAUGGGAAGGAAAAUCCCGAAGACUGGAG